GAGAAAUGAGAGGUUGUAUACUAAUUUCAAGAAGUGUUCUUUUUGUUUAGAUCGAAUUGUGUUUCAGGUUUUGUUGUAAGCAAAGUGUUGAAGUUGAUGAAGAGAAGUUAAGUGCUAUUAAGAGCUGGCCUAUUCCUAAAUCGGUAAGUGAGGUUCUGAAGUUCUCAUAGUUUGGCUAGUUUUUAUGUGCUAUUUGGUUAU
rnacentral:lncRNA from 1 species